rnacentral:rRNA from 1 species
AGAACGAACGCUGGCGGCAUGCCUAAUACAUGCAAGUCGAACGAACUCUUCGGAGUUAGUGGCGCACGGGUGCGUAACGCGUGGGAAUCUGCCCCUUGGUUCGGAAUAACAGUUGGAAACGACUGCUAAUACCGGAUGAUGACGAAAGUCCAAAGAUUUAUCGCCAAGGGAUGAGCCCGCGUAGGAUUAGCUAGUUGGUGAGGUAAAGGCUCACCAAGGCAACGAUCCUUAGCUGGUCUGAGAGGAUGAUCAGCCACACUGGGACUGAGACACGGCCCAGACUCCUACGGGAGCAGCAGUAGGGAAUAUUGGACAAUGGGCGAAAGCCUGAUCCAGCAAUGCCGCGUGAGUGAUGA